CUGAUGACAGGCCUAACACAUGCAAGUCGUGAUGUACUGACGGGACCUUCGGGUACUGGAAACGGCGAGCGGCGGACGGGUGAGUAAUGCCUAGGAAUCUGCCUGUCCAGUAGUAUAACGCGGGGCAUUCUCGCGCUAAUACCGCAUACGUCCCAGUGAUAGAAAGUGGGGGACAGUGAUCCUCACCAUAGCAGAUGAGCCUAGGUCGGAUUAGCUAGUUGGUGGGGUAAAGGCCCACCCAGGCGACGAUCCGUAACUGGUCUGAGAGGACAUGAAGUCACACUGGAACUGAGACACGGUCCAGACUCCUACGGGAGGCAACAGUGGGGAAUAUUGGACAAUGGGCGAAAGCCUGAUCCAGCCAUGCCGCACGUGAUGAAGAAGGUCUUCGGAUUCCGUAAACAGUAAGUUGGGAGGAAGGGCGCUCGGUGAAUACCCAACAGUGGCGUCUUGACGUUACCGUACGUAAGCACCGGCUAACUUCGUGCCAGCCGCGGUAAUACGAAGGGUCCAGUGACGUUAAUCGGAAUUACUGGGCGUAACCAUGAUAGGUGGUUCGGCAAGUUGGAUGCCAUGAUGGGCUCAACCUGGGAACCGCAUCCCCAGUAACUACUGGGCUAGAGUACGGUAGAGGGUCCAGUGGUGGAAUUUCCUGUGUCCAGUGAGCGUAGAUAUAGGAAGCCAUGAUGUGGCGAAGGCGACCACCUGGACCCGUAGUACACUGAGGUGCGAAAGCCCGUAGUAGCAAACAGGAUUAGAUACCCUGGUAGUCCACGCCGUAAACGAUGUCGACUAGUAGAGCCGUUGGGCUCCUUGAGAGCUUAGUGGCGCAUGAUACGCGUCGACCGCCUGGGGAGCCAGUGAUGCAAGGUUAAAACUCAAAUGAAUUGCCAAUGAUCGCACAAGCGGUGGAGCAUGUGGUUUAAUUCGAAGCAACGCGCCAUGACGUAGCUGGCCUUGACAUCCUGUGACGUUUCAAGAGAUUGAUGAUGACGUUCGGGAGCGCAGAGACAGGUCCAGUGAUGCUGUCGUCAGCUCGUGUCGUGAGAUGUUGGGUUCCAUGAUAACGAGCGCAACAUGCACGAUUACCAGCGAUUCGGUCGGGCAUGUGACCUCUAAGGAGACAGUGAUGUGACAAACCCAUGAUGAUGACCCAUAGAUAGUGGCCC
rnacentral:rRNA from 1 species